UGCUGUUUGUAUUUCCUUUGUUUUAUUUUAAUUGAACAAAAGAAAAUACACCAGCAAAACCAAGUACAACAAUCCAACCAACAUCAGUGACCUACAGGAGAACACCAGCAACACCAACAGCACCAACAGUGAUCAUCUCUGUUGAAAAACCUUCCAGUUUCUUUACCUUCAUUAUCAUCAUCUCUGUGAGUAUCUGUGUGGUUCUGCUGCUGAUUGGAGGAUUAACGCUGAUCUUCUACAAGCUGAGAUGCUCCAAAACUCAAGAUGUGCCCAUCACCAGUAGACAAUUAGGAACAACUGAUACAAUUUAUGAAAAUGAUCUACCAGGCAACCAGAACAACCUCAGAUUGAUUCCAGACUACCAGAACCUGAAAAAAAACAACUCCAACCAAUCAG
rnacentral:lncRNA from 1 species